rnacentral:lncRNA from 1 species
AUGUGGUGUUCAGGGACCGUCGGACUUCCCUUUCAAUAUUGCACUCCUGCAUUCAAUUUCGUUUUACGUUUUCGAUUUCACCCUAUAUAGCCCCCCCGCAACCCUUUGCGCAAACAAGGUAUGACAGAUUCUUCAGUUUGUUAUAUUCAGCUUUCGUGGGGUUCCGGUUAGUCGUACAGUCGUCGGAACACUGGUAACCCUGGUGAUCUCUGCAUCCCAUCACAGGAAGUGGAUCCAUGUCAUGAAUUGACUGAUGAUGACAUUCGAACCGCCAUAAAGGAUGCAUCAGGUCCUAGAUUCGGUUUGAAGUUCUUAUUAGAAGAUGAGUCAUAGUUUUAUGCUUAAUGAGCUACAAAGGUUUCCUGUCCUUCGAAAGCAAAUAGUUUUUUGCUAAUAGUUUUCUGCUAUUAGGGUAAGGUUUAGGCCUUUAGGGUUCUGCGGCGGUCAAUGGUGUUCUACGGCGGUGAACAAGCAACGGCGGAUUGGACCUUCGGUAGAGAGACCGACGAUUGUUACCAACCACUACGGCCAGAGAAACCUUAGGCUUGUUAUGACAAGAAAUACCAGGGAAAUUUGAUGAUGACCGUGAAGAACUGUUGUCAGCUGCAAAUUAUGCUCGUAAUGCUAGCUAUCUAGCAUGUUCAAGCGCUUUUUGGGAAAAACUUGAACCUAUAUUAGCACUCAUUAUAGAGGAAUCCGUUAAUGAAUUUGAAGAAGGAAAAAAUACCGAAAAUAUAGCACUUCAAGAUACUUUUGGUGAUUCAGCUUAUGAUACAUUUCACCAUGAUGAUUUCAGUGAGCCUAGAAAGAAGGAUAGGAGGGAAGUUGAAAUAGAGCUUCAUGUUGAUCUGGUACAUGACUACUUUGCUCCAUAGUACGUACCAACAUGACCUCAUAUUCUAUAGCUCAGAUGUGGGCCGUAUGCAGAAUGUAGGCUUUCUACAAGACCAACUGCUAUAGAAUCUAAAGGUCUAACGUUAGUAUCAGAAGUUGUGAUAAAAAAGGGUCAAGUCAAAGCUAAUUACAUGGUUGCACCAUUUGCACAAGAUUUAGAUGAAAAAAAUGAAGAUACAAGCUCACACUCUUUCAGGACAAUAUUAGUUGUUUAGACCAAAAUUUGCCGAUCCGAUCCUACUGGAAGCUCACUGGAGCGUCUUGAUGGCUGCAAGGCGGUAUGGCUGUCUUUCAGAUCCUUCUGUCCUAAAACUUUUCAAACUUUUAUAUUAGCACAUAAUGCAUAGGAUAUGAUUAUACUACUAAAUGGGUCAAAAGAGUGCCCUCUGUUUUUUUUU